UUAUUUAUUUAUUUUUUUUUGAAUUUAUGUCAAGAAGGUCAAUUAUUGAGGCUAUUUUCAUUUUUAGUUGAUGGAGAGAUAUAGGGAGAUGUGGAAGGAUCUUCACAUGGACUUUGUUGGUGUAGAUAAGCACUUGAUAUGGUCUGUAGAGAGUUAAUCUGGUAGCUAGUGGGAAAGAAAACUGACUCAAGAAGAUAUGUUGACAUGAUUAAAGAUGUAUGAUGGGGUAGUAAAAUCCUUAAGAAAGAAAAAGGAAAAAGAACGGGAAGUAACAAAUGUGAGGAUUAUUGGUGGAGGGACAAGUGAUUUUCAAUCAUUGUAGGCUUACACCAGGGGUCAAAAUUGAGCCUAUAUCCUUUUGCAUUGGUUACGAACUAUUUAACAAUGCAUUUACAUGAAGAGUUCCCAUGGUGGUUUAUGUUGUUUGCAGAUGACAUAGUUUUGAUUGGCAGGAUAAGGGAGGACAUAAAAAAAUUUAGAACUGUGGAAGGAUGCCUUAAAAUCUAAAGGUUUUAAAAUUAGGAGUGGAAAUGAGGAAUCAGUUAAGGUUGUUGACCAAGAAGUAUGCCAACAUGACCAUUUUCGAUAUCUAGGGUGGAUAAUUGUGAGGGUGGAGAGAUCAGCGAUGACAUUGCUCAUAGAAUUCAACUUGGGUGGAAGAAUUGGAGAUGUGCCUUUGGAGUUUUAUGUGAUCCUCACAUAGCAAUCAAACUGAAGGGCAACCUUUAUAGGAUAGUUAUAAAGACUGCCCAUGCUUUAUGGGAUAGGAUGUUGGGUAGUUAAGGAACAACAUUCAUGAACAUAGUUGAAAUGAGUAUGUUGAGAUGGAUGAGUGGUAAGAUGAGGAAGGAUAGAAUUAGAAGUGGAUCCAUUCGAGAGAACUUAGGAGUAGCACCAAUAAGUAAUAAGAUGAGGAAAGUAAACUUGAUGGUUCGGUCAUGAGUGACGGAGAACAAGCACUACACCAGUUAGGAGUGAGUUGGUUCAAGUUGAAGGCUCCAGAAGGUCAAGAGGAAGGUUCAAAAGGACAUGGGCUAAGGUACUAAGAAGAAGGCCCGAGGACCUAUUAUUUAACUGCGAAUAUGGUCCAUGAUAGGGGGAAUGACAAAACAUGACUCAUGUACCUUUUGCGAUAAUCUUCAUCUUGUCGUUGGAGUACCUUGGAGGUGCAAAAUUAGAGCACAUAUAACUCGUGUGGCUCAAGACCCUGUGGAGAAGCAGUAGGAUGCUCCAGUGAAGCCUUCUGAUGAAUACUUUUGGUUUAAUUAGCCUCAUAUUGUCCUUCACUUGAUCCAUUUUAUCUAAUUCCAUAAUUUAUUUGAGAUUGCAUUCUUCUUCUGGAUGUUGGUAAGUUAGAGCAUAUAUUUCGUAGACCUGCUAGGUGCAUGUAUGUCCACUGAUUUGCCUUCAUAUUUUCAGAGAACCUUUGGGUUUCAUUCAUGCAUGAUGAACAAAAUGUGGGUUACAUUGUUCGAAGGCUUGGACUUUUCGCUUGCCUUGUUAAUAGUAAUAGGCUAAUUGCUGCACAAAAUAGAAUGAAAUGCCAAUAAUAAAAGAUAGAUACUAUGUACUCUUUUCAGUAUUCCUACAUUUCUGGCCCUUAAGAAUGUAUUGCUGUUGGAUUACAUGUACAGCAUGUUUAUUCAAGUUCUUUACUGCUACAGUAACCUUUGUAUGCAAUUUUUACCCUGGUAAUUGUUUGCCUUGCCUUCUUUUAAAGCUUUGUUCGCCAAAGAGUUUGAGAUAGGCUCCCCCCCCCCCCCUAAAACGAAGAUGGGUUGCAAGUUCAAACAAGAGAUUCAGUUAGUAGCAAGGAACCCUAAAGGGUUGGGCCAAGGGAGCAAGGGAGGGAAAGAAACCAGAGGGAUGGUCGAUGAGUACCCGAACCCACAAGUCUGGGUACUUCUUGGACCUAACCUGAUUUUAAUUGUCUGGGUCCCAUUUAUUGAACCUGUUAAGAAAUCGGGUUCGAGUGCUUUAGUUAGCGUUAGGUCACAUUGAUUGACCCACUCAAUUCUAGUCGGUCUAGUUGGGUAGAUUUACUAGAGAAGCAUUAUGAUUUUUGGAUUCCUGGGUAAACAUGAGCUACAUACCUGAGCAAUGGGGCGGAUCUCAUGAAAGUUAGACUCACGUGGUGCUCGAUUAGCAGAAGCAAUACGCUACUUACACAUUGUGAAAAAACCAGAGGACAAUCAAUGAGUACCUGGACCGGUGGAUCCGGGUACUUGUUGGAUCCGACCCGAUGUUAAUGGUGUGGAUCCCAUUUAUUGGACCUGUUAAGAAAUUGGGUUCAGGUGCCCGAGUUAGUGUUAGGUCACACCUCCUGUCAAGUCUGAUCAUACGUGUUGUCCAUACUGGAUUCUCUUCCAGAUCCAUCAAUUUAUCAUGUUUGCCUCUCGCAGCUAUUUUGGUUGUAGCUGGUUUAGAAUCUGAUAGCUUAGAAUGGUUGCCCCAAAUGGGGAGUUUUCAGUAAUUUUCUCAAUAGGCUUCUUCUAGAUUGAAAGAAAAUGAUGAUGAACUGUUUCUCUAGAUACACAUGGGCAAUCACCAACUGUGCCACCUAUGAGGUAAACAUGGGCCAGCUCUUCACAACUACUAACAAGAAGCUGCAGCGAAGAUCAUUCUGUGGUAUUCGGAGUUCUCAAGUUGCGGACAACAUGUGUUGAGACUCGAGCAUGAAAAAUUAGCAGUGUUUUUUCCUUUUCUUAUUUGAUAGAGUGGAUUGUUUUUCAAAGAUGUGACCAACAUCUUUCUAAUGGGGGAGCAGUCCCUAGAAAUGGCUACAACAAUGAUGCAAGUCAGCAUGGCAUGUGUACCAGUUACAAAUAAGAGACAAAAACUUACAGUUUUAAUAUGAAGAAUCAUGGUACCAAUGAACCAUAGUGUGAAUAGAAUCAAAAGAUCAAAUCCCGAAGGCAAAAAAGAGUAAAAGAACUGAGCUGCAUAAUCAUUAUAGCCAGGCAUUUAUAGCUACACCAGGAAAGUCUCUCAUUGUGGAUGAUUAUGGACAGGAUGCCUUUGCUUCUGAUAUAAAAAAGGCAAAAUUGCUCAACUUCUGUAUUGGAUAUGGGAAAGCUUAUGUUAGACUGGCUCUUGAUUAGGAGUGGCACUACUAAAGAGCAUGAAAAUAAUGAGUGCAUAUCAAAGCAGCCUUUCCCUCAUUGCCCUUAUUAAGGGAGGCCAACUGUCCCUGUCAAAGGUGGGGCCCAAACUACAUCAAAGGUGGGCCAUGUGAUGAACAAAUGGGACUAUUUACUAAUGGCCAGAAAUUAUCUACUUUCUCUUGUCCAUGUGAUGAGCAAAUGGGACUUAUUUUUACAUAAUGUGAUCCUCAUGGUGGGGCCAACCUAUUUGUGGGGCCCAUGGUGAUGAAUGAGUUAUAU